rnacentral:lncRNA from 1 species
CUGGUCUCCCGCAGUGCCCUCAGGCUUGCUAGGAUUGGGAAAUUCCAGCCUGGUGAAUUCUAGUCAGACCGGUUGUCUGCUCUCAAACUCUCUUUCCUGUUAAGAUGUUUAUCAAGACAAUGCAUGCACAGGAGGACAUGGACCCUCAUCAGUAAUUCUAAUUUUGCCCUUGCCUUGUGAUCUUUUAUUGCCCUUUGAAGCAUGUGAUCCUUGUGACCUACUCCCUGUUCGUACAUCUACUCUCCUUCUAAAAUCCUAAUAAAAACUUGCUGGUUUUGCAGCUCAGGGUCGCC